rnacentral:rRNA from 1 species
UACGUAGGGACCAAGCGUUGUUCGGAUUUACUGGGCGUAAAGGGCGCGUAGGCGGCGCUGUAAGUCACUUGUGAAAUCUCCGGGCUUAACUCGGAACGGUCAAGUGAUACUGCAGUGCUAGAGUGCGGAAGGGGCAAUCGGAAUUCUUGGUGUAGCGGUGAAAUGCGUAGAUAUCAAGAGGAACACCUGAGGUGAAGACGGGUUGCUGGGCCGACACUGACGCUGACAGCGCGAAAGCGUGGGGAGCAAACAGG